GUGGGGAAUAUUGGACAAUGGGCGAAAGCCUGAUCCAGCCAUGCCGCGUGUGUGAAGAAGGUCUUCGGAUUGUAAAGCACUUUAAGUUGGGAGGAAGGGCAGUAAGUUAAUACCUUGCUGUUUUGACGUUACCGACAGAAUAAGCACCGGCUAACUUCGUGCCAGCAGCCGCGGUAAUACGAAGGGUGCAAGCGUUAAUCGGAAUUACUGGGCGUAAAGCGCGCGUAGGUGGUUCAGCAAGUUGGAGGUGAAAUCCCCGGGCUCAACCUGGGAACUGCCUCCAAAACUACUGAGCUAGAGUACGGUAGAGGGGAGUGGAAUUUCCUGGGUAGCGGUGAAAUGCGUAGAUAUAGGAAGGAACACCAGUGGCGAAGGCGACUACCUGGACUGAUACUGACACUGAGGUGCGAAAGCGUGGGGAGCAAACAGGAUUAGAUACCCUAGUAGUCC
rnacentral:rRNA from 1 species